AACGAACGCUGGCGGCAUGCCUAACACAUGCAAGUCGAACGAGACCUUCGGGUCUAGUGGCGCACGGGUGCGUAACGCGUGGGAACCUGCCUUUAGGUUCGGAAUAACUCAGAGAAAUUUGAGCUAAUACCGGAUGAUGUCUUCGGACCAAAGAUUUAUCGCCUUUAGAUGGGCCCGCGUUGGAUUAGCUAGUUGGUGGGGUAAAGGCCUACCAAGGCGACGAUCCAUAGCUGGUCUGAGAGGAUGAUCAGCCACACUGGGACUGUGACACGGCCCAGACUCCUACGGGAGGCAGCAGUGGGGAAUAUUGGACAAUGGGCGAAAGCCUGAUCCAGCAAUGCCGCGUGAGUGAUGAAGGCCUUAGGGUUGUAAAGCUCUUUUACCCGAGAUGAUAAUGACAGUAUCGGGAGAAUAAGCUCCGGCUAACUCCGUG
rnacentral:rRNA from 1 species